UACGGAGGAUGCAAGCGUUAUCCGGAUUCAUUGGGUUUAAAGGGUGCGUAGGCGGAAUAAUAAGUCAGUGGUGAAAGCCUGUGGCUCAACCAUAGAAUUGCCAUUGAUACUGUUAUUCUUGAGUAUAGUUGAAGUGGGCGGAAUGUGUAAUGUAGCGGUGAAAUGCUUAGAUAUUACACAGAACACCAAUUGCGAAGGCAGCUCACUAAGCUGUUACUGACGUUGAGGCACGAAAGCGUGGGGAGCAAACAGG
rnacentral:rRNA from 1 species